UAAUAAAAGCGCCAGAACUAAAAGUAUGUUUUUAGUUGACGAGGAUGGGGAGUAUCGAAUUUUCGGCGGAUGCCCCACGGUAUAACACUACCGUAAACAGCUGGUAAAACUGAGAAGUGAUUUUCAGUACAGAUUCAG
rnacentral:ncRNA from 1 species